GAAAGAGGAGUAGAGGGGGUGACCUAAACAGCAGGACUGCUUCCACCAUCUUAGACUGUAUUGAUUAUUCUUUGCUCUCACACAUGCUAGCUCUCUUUCUCUCCCCUUCUGUCCCUCCCUCCCUCUUUCUGUCUGUUCUGCCACCUUCUCUACUCGGCGAUCAGCGUUUGGCUUUUUCCAUUUGUGGCAGAUUACUGUAACGCUAUUGUACAACAACUUCCUGCCUCCUUUGGCUCUGGUUCUAAAAACUGCAGAGGCAGAGCUCGUGGCUUAAACUUUUUCCCCUCGGCCUUGAACUAGAGGAACUCUAUAUGGAAAGAAAAAGAAGGAAGGGGAUUUGUAAAGUAUCUGUUACAGAGGAACUAUUUUGAUUUUAUUUCUCCUUUAUAAACUGCUGAGAAUUAAAGAGGGCAAGAGGGGACUACAUCCUAUAGCAGAGACAAUGGGAGGAGAAAAAAAAGGAUUCUGAAUGAAGACGAUGAAGAAGGGAGACACGAAGAGAAAAAGAGCAGGGGCAAGCUCCUCCUGGGAACAAGCUGGAAAUUAUGGACCUAUUCGAUAUCAGACCUCAGAGUGGACAACCUAUCCUAGGAGGGACGCGCCCUAACUGUAACUAACAACUACUUCUGGCAGCCCCUGAACAGCCAGGCAUAUUGUCCUGGAUCUGGGCCUCUUUCAUGAGACACCAUUGAAAAAGGCAGUUGUGGGAACAAAUGAGCAUCUAAAUAUGAAUUGGCAAUAUUUUAUAUAAAAAUUUUAUAACACUACAUUAAAAAGAAGUUUUUUUUUUUUUUUUUUUUAUGUCUUAACUAUAAACUAUGUUCCCUUCAGGAUUUUACACAUUAAGAACGUUAAGGGGCCAUAAGAAAGGAUUUCCACAUUAAAUGCAUGCAAGCAUAAUUUUCUCUUUUUAGUGAUAUGUUAUAAUUAAUGAUAAAAUACUUGAAGUAAAGAAGAUCUAACUCUUUAGAUGGGGUAAUAUAACAGCCAUCAAUGACAGCAGAAGCAAGUUUAGGCUGUUUAAAUUAAUGUAAGAAGUAUGGAGUCAAAUGUAAAAUCGCUAGAUGUUAUGAAAGUGAAAAAAUGGCAAUUUAUCAGUGCUGAAACAAAUUUUCUCUUUUUCUCUUUCCAGACAUUUUAGUGUCGGCCCCUGUCAAACACAGAAACUGGGUAUUAUCUGGUGUUAGCUAAGCUGCACUGGGAAAACAUUGGCCUGUGUUACUAAGUUACCUGAAGUGCCAGUAGAAACUCUCAAAGGUCAACGAUGUAUAAGUAAAAGAAAUAACUAUUUCUCCUUUUUUCUUGGUCCACUUGACUAGCUACGUCUGCCUUUUACAUACCUGAACUCUGCCUUUGGAGCCCUCCACCGCCACCACCAACUUUAGUACCAACUUUAAACAGCCUCGGCCAUUUUCUUUAGCUCUCCCUCGUCACUGAGCCAGGAGAGCACAAGCCUGGUGUUUUAUGGGCCACGUCACAACGACUGUGUCUGCGCCACAGACCUGCGAGGAGUCCAGAUAGCUCAGUCAUGCACACUUCACACCUCAUUUUAUGCGUGGUGGUUUGUUAUCCCUCACACUGACUAGCAUUUUUGCUAAAACAAGAACAACAAAACAAUUACCUAACGCACUUUAUCAAUUUCAUAAACAUGUUCAGAUUCUGGUGCCUUCUCCAGCGCAAAGCUACCUGACCCCAAAUCAUUUCACAGCACUCUCUUUCCUCUGAUUUCAACAGCAAUGUUAGCUCAAAGGAAUCAUGUAAAGCAGAAAUGUUCUUCAAGCAGCAGAACCUUUUAUGAGGUUCAUAUUGAUUUAACUUUGUGCAGUGUAAAUAAAUCUCCAUCAUCUCCAUCAAAGAGGGGGUCACCGACCUGACACUGGUUUGAAUGUAGCACUACUGAAAAGCACUGAUUAGCUGAAUUCCAGUAGGGUUGACAAACUAUAACUGACAUGUGUGAUGUUAUUAGCAGAAGGACAUUCUCUAUGUUGGAGCAAAUCAGUCUAUGGGCUGGUUCUGCUGAUUUCCCAGCUCUGCCACUACCUGCAAAACACAGUUUUCCAAAGAAGGAAAAAAAAAACAAUUGUGUAAAAGAGAUGCUUCGUAUUACAGCCAUCACUGUAUGCAUCUAAAACUGUAUGUUGCACACUAUUCAUUUCAAUACAUUUGCCGAUUAUGAAUCUUUAGCUUACUUUGAACUUAUAUUUACUUGACAUAUUUUAAUGCAAGGUUGCACUAAAAUAUAUGAUCACUUACUAUCACUCAAAGAUAUCAGUGAAAGUCUAACCCUUCACGGUACAGUGAUUAGGGUUAAUUUCCUGCAUUUUUAGAGAAUAACUGUUCAGUAACUUAAAGUUGGCAAAUUAGUUUGUGCAGAUGCAGUGACCGAAUCUAUUUCCCUGCAUUCUCUUUGUGCCCAUUAGUGGAGCAUGUGCUCAUAGUGAGGAGCUCGGUCAUCUGAGGACACGCACAUUGUAGAAGGGGGUUGUUUCAUUCAGCCUGAAUCUUUAGGUUUACCGUGGUUCUCCCAGUGUAAUUCUGUGUAAUGACAACUAUUUGCUUUCACAGCCUCAUACAAAUAAUGAUACUGUAUAGAUUACACUGUAUGCUGCUUGUACUGAGAUGCCGGGUGCAACGAAAAAAUUAGCUGAUUUAUCUAAAUAGUUUUUUGAGGAGUAUGUGUAGCCUUAAAAUAUCUAGCUUGCUUUUUGAGUGAAGUGUGCGAUAAAAAUCAUAACUCCAUUGUCAUCUUUAUGUCCCAUGAUUUUAAAUUGUUUUUAUGAACACAACUCCUCUCCUAAUGACAGUUGCUACAAAAGCAAAAUACAACAGUUCAUGUGAGCUACAAUAUUUCACGUAUUCCUUCUCUGUAGACGUUGUGUUCUUCUUAUGCUAAACUGUGCUGACGGUGAUGGUGUAUAAUAGUACCACGUCCUGCCAACACUACCAUCAUCGUCGUCAGGUUAAAGGUGUCAACAGCAUGCGGGGAAACUGCCGCAUGACGGCCCCUGACCUCUCACACCAGCUCAGAGAGGCAGAGGGUCAUGCAGAGGACACGACGGUGGAGAGAAAAGUCAAUCUUAUCCUUCCAUUCUGCCACAGGCCUUCGUGCAGCGACAGAAAGAUGAGCUAGAGGGCUUUCCAAAAUCCACACUCGUUUGGCUGGGAGCAAGGCGUCAGACCCGUGUGUGUUUCAAAGGAAUUGCUGAGGAAAGCGAUUUUUAUGGCAGCACCCCUUCACUUGACAGUAUGUUUUAGCCUGCCUCUCUGUCUUUGCUCCAUCCCAACCUCAACUUAAUAUCCCGCUACACCAAUUUCUGUCAUCUUUAGUGGCCAAAAUGGCGUGCGGCCCACUUGUCUCCUCGUGGUAGAGAGCUCUACCUUGUCUCAUCUUAAUAUGGCUCUCACACAUAUGGACACUUUUUUAUCAUUAUCUCCACACGUUACAAAAUCCUCGGGAUCUGCUGAGCGGCAUGGAGCAGAGGGGUUAAAAGGCAGGAGGCAGCGAAAUGAAGGCAGAGAAAAGCCUGAGCUCUCGAACUCCUCUCAGUUGAGCCUGUGCUUCGAUAAUGGGGAGGUGAUAACCUGGCACAGAACCAACCACUAAUGCCCCUUAAAUGUCAGACUGCAGAAAGGAAAGGAGAAGCAAAAAUGGGAGCACAUUCAUAUUUCAGCUUGGCAAAUGCUAUAAUGCAUUGAUGCCUCACAGUGAGGGCAAGGAAGAAUCCCAGAAGAGAGAAAAAGGGCGGAUAUGAUAAAGGGGAAAUGAAAAAGAAAAAAAAAAAAAAGGUGUGGGGGGGGUUGGUUGCAGUGAUGGGAGCAGCCACAUCUGACGGUUGUCUCUAUUCGACAAAGUUCAGUGUAGAUCCGUUUAACUCUCUCUCUCUCUCUCUCUCUCUCUCUCUCGCUUUCUACACAGACGAAAAUCUGACAAGGUGGGGGUCGGGGGACAGGGUUGAGUCUAGUGUUGGGGGUGGGGUUGGAUUGCUGGAGAGAGUGAUCUUUUUUUCCAGCGGGGUGAAAGGCGGAUGGUCAUGUGUGCAGAGCUCAUGACAAAAGGCCCUUUUAUGUGCAGCGUAUGCAGAUAGAGGAGGCUCCUUUGUGCACAGAUGGAGAUCCCAUGCCUGGGUCUGCCUGCGGCGGAGAGGGAAGGGAGGGCGGAGAGAAGAGUGUUGGUGAAGGGAAGAGAGGGGAGGGAGGGGUGUAUCUGGCACUGAGUGCCAUCACUGUGUCUGGUGGGGGAUGGGGCACAGAAAAGCAGAACCAAGUCGUCCUGGUCCUACCAGGUUCAUACAUUUAGGAGGAGGGGCUACAAACCUUACUAAGAGGAUACAGAAACUGGUAACACGAUAGUCAAAUCACAGAAAAGGUCCUCCAACUGCCUAAGUGGACCAGGGUCAAAUAUUAAUUGCAAGUUAUCUCUAGUAUUUGUUUCAUCAGCUUGUGAAAAUGUGUUCUGUCACACACAAUGCCAGACAGUUAAUACUCAAAAGCCUGUAAAACUGAUACAAAGGAUUAUAGGCUUAAAAAAAGAAAGAAAAUAAAGCAUAACCUACUUUUUAAUGCCAAAUAUUACAUAAUCCUAACAAACUGAAUCUAAAAAAAUAAGUUACUUUUUAAAAUCUAAAAAGCUCAAACUGUGUAAGGCAUCAAGGUGGAAAAAUGUCAAGUUCACCUUUAAACUCUGUCUCCUUAUUAAUACGUCAGUGCUGUUGCUUUAACUCCUUGUUGUUUAAGUUUGCUGCUCAUAAUUGAUCAAUCUCUAGUUAGUGUUAAAUGUUGAAAUGAGUCUAGCUGUUUUUUAAAUGUUUCACUUUUGAAAAGUCUGUUUUGCCUUUGAACUGGUAAUGUUGAGUAUUUGACCCCUAAUAAAUGCCUUAAAUGCU